UGCUGGCUGUGCAGGCAAACUGGUGGAGA
rnacentral:piRNA from 1 species